UGUACUCAGGUGAAUAAUAUGUUUGUGAUGUUACUCUGAGUGCAUAUCCAGUUGGUUCGAAUCCCACCGUGGCCGGGCAUGUUUUUCAAGCUCGCCCGGUGUGGAUAUGCACUCAGAGUAACAUCACAAACAUAUUAUUCACCUGAGUACA